UACGAAGGGGGCUAGCGUUGCUCGGAAUUACUGGGCGUAAAGGGCGCGUAGGCGGUUCUGUUAGUCAGGCGUGAAAUUCCUGGGCUCAACCUGGGGGCUGCGCUUGAUACGGCGGGACUAGAGGAUGGAAGAGGCUCGUGGAAUUCCCAGUGUAGAGGUGAAAUUCGUAGAUAUUGGGAAGAACACCGGUGGCGAAGGCGGCGAGCUGGUCCAUUACUGACGCUGAGGCGCGACAGCGUGGGGAGCAAACAGG
rnacentral:rRNA from 1 species